rnacentral:rRNA from 1 species
GAUGAACGCUGGCGGCGUGCUUAACACAUGCAAGUCGAACGGAAAGGCUCCUGCUUGCAGGGGCACUCGAGUGGCGAACGGGUGAGUAACACGUGGGUGAUCUGCCCUGCACUUCGGGAUAAGCCUGGGAAACUGGGUCUAAUACCGGAUAGGACGAUGGUUUGGAUGCCAUUGUGGAAAGUUUUUCGGUGUGGGAUGAGCUCGCGGCCUAUCAGCUUGUUGGUGGGGUAAUGGCUUACCAAGGCGUCGACGGGUAGCCGGCCUGAGAGGGUGUACGGCCUCAAUGGGACUACGAUACGGCCCAGACUCCUACGGGAGGCAGCAGUGGGGAGUAUUGCACAAUGGGCGCAAGCCUGAUGCGGCGACGCCGCGUGGGGGAUGACGGCCUUCGGGUUGUAAACUCCUUUCGCUGGGGACGAAGCGCAAGUGACGGUACCUGGAGAAGAAGCACCGGCUAACUACGUG